rnacentral:rRNA from 1 species
UGGGGAAUAUUGGACAAUGGGGGGAACCCUGAUCCAGCCAUGCCGCGUGUGUGAAGAAGGCCUUUUGGUUGUAAAGCACUUUAAGUGGGGAGGAGGCUUACCUAGUUAAUACCUGGGCUAAGUGGACGUUACCCACAGAAUAAGCACCGGCUAACUCUGUGCCAGCAGCCGCGGUAAUACAGAGGGUGCGAGCGUUAAUCGGAUUUACUGGGCGUAAAGCGCGCGUAGGUGGCUAAUUAAGUCAAAUGUGAAAUCCCCGAGCUUAACUUGGGAAUUGCAUUCGAUACUGGUUGGCUAGAGUAUGGGAGAGGAUGGUAGAAUUCCAGGGGUAGCGGUGAAAUGCGUAGAGAUCUGGAGGAAUACCGAUGGCGAAGGCAGCCAUCUGGCCUAAUACUGACACUGAGGUGCGAAAGCAUGGGGAGCAAACAGGA